CAACACUCAAGCCUAGCUUGGUAUUGAGCCACGUCCGCAAGGGCCGGCUUUAAAAUCAGUGGCGGCGCCAUCUGGCUCUCAGCGUAGUAAUACUCCUCGCUGUUGAGUUCUGGUGGAUGCUGGCCAGCAACCCCUAACUUCUAA
rnacentral:misc_RNA from 1 species